UGCGCGACUUUAGGAGCGCAAUAUUCUUCCGCUGAAGAACGAGUGCAUAUUUCCCGAUGCAAAGAUAAUAACCUUUUUAUUACAUACACAUCUACACGUAUAAAUAUAAUGUAAAUAACAUAAUUUUGUUCAAUAGCCUGAAUAGGAUUGACAAUACUGAACUAAACAGAAAAAAAAUAGUGCCAGAACAAACACUGAAUUACGUCAAGCAUCCGAUAUGAAAUUCAGGCGUCAGUGUAUGGAAAGAUAUUGACGUUUCCGGUACCAGUGUAACUUAACGGGGAAUAGAAACGUGUAUGUAAUAACAUGUGAAAUCUGCUUGAUAUAUAAACUUUUGAAGAGCUAAACCUCUGACACAUGUAAAUAUUUGAGCAAAUUUAAUUUAGUCAUUUGGAAAUUUGGGAAAUGGCGGUCAUCUUAAUUUGAACGGUCUGUGUAACCAAAUAACGCAUUGUAUUGAUAGUUUAUUUGGUACCUCUUAGCCUUUUAGAUGAUACAGGGAUAAAAGAACUACUAUUGUCAGCCACUAAGCAUGUUUCAAAGUUUUUAAACACACUAUAACAAUAAACAUUUUGUUUAAAUAUCUUUUUAAUGCAAUGUUUCCUUGAUAUCUGUCACUUGAUGUUUUCAAUGGAUUAGAGUCCUAAUUUAAUGUAAAGUGUGUAAUAUUUAGUAAUGGAAGUACAAAAUUUGUAGGAAGUUGUUUCUUUAUUUCAGUAUAAAAUAUUCUGUGGAUUCAUCUGAUGAGAAUGCCAGUGUUGAUCUGUAUGAUUUAAUUAAACACAGAUAUUGAUACCUUCAGGACACACAUGUAGAGAGCAACAAGCCCUGUCCAGCCGUGCAUGUAAAUGUGAUUCAGAAACUUUGUGAAUAUGUAAAUAUUACACUGAUGCUGGAGGAAAACACCUAGCUCUAAACAUGCUACACAAUUUUUGGUACAUACCAGUCUUUAUGGACAUAGAAAAGCUUCCGUAGUUCUCCAGGAAUGCUGGUCAAGGGACUAGAAUCAAGGGAAUAUCUUACUGAAAUCGUAAGAUAAGAUUUCGUGCAUUUUGCUUAAAAAAUAAUUUUAUCGAAAUAUUCACGACUAUAUGUAACCGUUAUGUAUACCAUAGUAACGUCACGUUACAUUGUAUAUAUACUGUUGAGCCGAUAGGCGCAACUAGUUUGAAUUUUUAUAAUUAAAUACUGUUGGAAAGGCAUAUUAAGUCAUUUAUAUGCCCAAAGCUAUUAGUCUAAUAUUGAAUUAACUAUUAAUUUUCAACAAAAUCAUUUUAAAUAUUCACGGUAAGGUUCAGAGCCCAAAAUCAAUGGGUAAGGUUUGAUGCUAUUCAAACACAUCAAUGUAGAAAUUCAAUAUUUUUCGUUUCAUGACAAAGCUGAUUGAAUUAUUUUAGAGUACGUCAAAGCAAAAAAGCAGAGAGACUUAAGGUGUUCAAUUUUCUUUUAUUCUGAUAACAGCUACAAUAGUACCAGGCAUAGUUGUAAUAUUUACGUUACAUUUUAUGGAAACCAUACCCUUGAAGAAAAAUAUAGUUGAAUAGCUCGGCCGUAUGAUGAAACUAUUCUGAACUAAGGCAAUGCAUGAUGGAAAUUUUACGUAUUGCGUUAAACAAAUAUUCUAGUGUUUGCUAACCUUCAUACAGUUUAUAAUCAGCAAUUGGUUCACUGUAGAACAUGACAUGGAGACUGUUUUACAU